rnacentral:rRNA from 1 species
AUGGGUCGGGCCUGGUCCGCGGAUGCCCGAUGGAAGAUCUCCCAGGCUGGGCCUGUUCAAGCCGACGCUUGUGCGUGCUGCUGCUGCAGCUCCCUGGGUGGCCUCCAGAUCGAAGCUCGACAGCAAGAAUUGACUCAAAUCUUCAGAUCGAUGACCAGCGACUGCUGCCUCCCCGUAUUGCGCACGCUGCUCUCCACCGCCACUAGCUCUGCUGCUGCUCGCUUGUGCUUGUUAGCUUGUGUGCUGCAUCUCGUGCUCCCCAUGGUCGUUUGGUACUGCUGGCGUGCUACUACCUCUCUACUCGCUUGCUACUUCGCUGCUACUCUGCUGUUUUGGCCUCCCUGCCAUGAUUUUCUUCCGCUGCUAUCGCAUCUACUCUACCUAUUCUCUUGCCUCCAAGCUUCUUCGCCGCCGGUUUUCAUGGGCCAUGAUUCUUUAAGCAAUGCUUAUUCUCUUGACGUGCCAUCUUCUUUUGACAACCCAUCUUCUAUUGAUACUUCCAUUGUAUCUUCUAUCGAUGCGAUGUCUUCCUCUGAUGUGCCAUCUCUUCGUUAUCCCCUUUGGCGACUCGACAGGAAAUCUCUACUCCUAAUGGAGCAGUUGGUAGUCUCCGUUCCGGGUUUUUUUUCGUCCCACAUUCGUCGGGUUUUUUUCGUCCUCCUCCACCUCCCAGGGUUCCAUACGCCGCCGCCUCCGGGCAGACCACAUACGCCGACGUCGAGGUCCGAGAGGAGAGGGCCGCCGGACCGUCUUCCUCCUCCACAGACCUCCGAGGCGCCCUACUCGUGGGAAGACGCCGCCGCCGCCUUGCGAGACCCCAAGGCAGGGCAGGGCGCGGUCGCGUUGCGGGCAGCGAGGAGCGGCGCGCCGGCGCCGGCGCAUGUGACAAGUACUCUGCCGCCGCCGGGCCGCGGCGACCACGAACGUGGAGCUGCUGAAGCGGUUUUGGCCAUUGGUCGUGUGGUCGUUCUUCAUAAUACUGAGAAGGCCGCGCCGGAGAUCCUCCACUUCAAACCGGACCUCGUCUCCCGUACUGAGGAGACGUUCGAUGACUUCACGGAUAACGGCAUAGACGAUCUGGUGGUCUCGCUGUACCAGAUGGAGCUCGACCGCACGCUCUUCCUGCUCUGCUCCUACCUACGCCUCCGCCUCAAGAGCAGUGAUGCGCCAAGAGUUGGAGGCUGCAAGGAGAUCAUGGAGAACCAUCUCGAGCAGCCGGAUGACGUGGGUAUUCCACUUGAUCUUGAAAUUAACAUCACUUCUUUGUCACGGGCGUUGCCUCCACCAUGCGCUCGGCCUACCUCCUGCGCCACCUGUCGGGCUCGUCCUCCCGCUGUACCUCUCCUCGACCAUCUGGCCCGCCUCUGCACAUGCAUCACCACGCACCCCAAUGGCGCUCGUGCCUUCGAGUACGUCUUGUUACUACCUCACCUCCACCCUCCUUCAGAUGAUAGGUCCCUCGGCAUUCGUGGGGGUGUUCGCAGCGUCGGGCUUGAUCAACGAGUUGACGGAGUCCUCCGGCGUGACGCACCUGCUGUAGAAGUUGGCGUUCAAGGACACAGGGCACCAGAGCCACUUGCAGAUCGUGCAGGAGGUGGAGGCCACGGGGCGUCCAGUUUUUUCUAUGGAAGCAUUGAUUCAGUUGUAGUGAUAUGGCCUCCAUUUUCUCGAGUAUGCCGCAGGCUAUGUCGUGCUCUCUUCGAUCACGCCUCCUACAUGCCCCUCAUGGUCGCACAUGCUGCUACCUUCCUUGACGGCCUCUUCGUCACCAAGAAACCGAGGCUCCACGAUGAUGCCCUCAAGAGGGGAAUAAUACAACACCUGACCAUCACCGAGACAGAGGAGACAGUCAAGGGUUUUCACCCGGAGCCCUGGCUCGGUAAGAGGGCCACGACGAUGCCCCCAGGUUGGACGCGACAUGGACAUACACUGUCGUCACUGGUGCUGGAGCACAAGGCUUUCGGCUGGCUACUCUCACCCACGCCACACCGAGUAGUCUUGAGCACCCGUCCACCCCGACGGAAGGCAUGCCACCGCCAAACAAGACCUCUAGAGAAUGAUCUAGGAAUCGCCACUAACGAGGCGCCACCGACACUAGGAUCAACCAACGCUACAUACUCUGCCACCCACACGACUAGAAGAUGCCUCCAUCAUCGCCGCCUAGGCGCCUGCUAA